AGCAGCCGCGGUAAUUCCAGCUCCAAUAGCGUAUAUUAAAGUUGUUGCAGUUAAAAAGCUCGUAGUUGAAUUUCGGGGUUAGUAGGUUGGUCAUGCCUCUGGUAUGUACUGGUCUCACUGAUUCCUCCUUCCUGAUGAACCUUAAUGCCAUUUAUUUGGUGUUUUGGGGAAUUUGGACUGUUACUUUGAAAAAAUUAGAGUGUUUAAAGCAAGCUAACGCUUGAAUACAUUAGCAUGGAAUAAUGAAAUAGGACGUUCGAUCCUAUUUUGUUGGUUUCUAGGAUUGACGUAAUGAUUAAUAGGGAUAGUUGGGGGCAUUAGUAUUCAAUUGUCAGAGGUGAAAUUCUUGGAUUUAUUGAAGACUAACUACUGCGAAAGCAUUUGCCAAGGAUGUUUUCAUUAAUCAAGAACGAAAGUUAGGGGAUCGAAGACGAUCAGAUACCGUCGUAGUCUUAACCAUAAACUAUGCCGACUAGGGAUCGGAUGAUGUUAAUUUUUAAUGACUCAUUC
rnacentral:rRNA from 1 species